ACGACGAGAUAACUUCUUCCUUGAUUCUGUCGAUUUCGAGCCACUCUCGCUGCUUACCGAUGUCUUCGGUUGAUUUCCUCCGCUUGAGGCCCCCUCGUGCACCACCGCCGGAGCCUCUUUCUCCGCUGACUCCACCGGAACCACCGGAUCCACCGGACCCUCAGAUCUGCUUCUCCUUUGGUGAAUCUCUUGUCCAGCCGCUGAAUCUCUCCUCCUUCAGAGCGUGUGACUUGUUCAUCGUCCCUCUCUCCUCCACACCGGGCUUUCCGUCGCCGACUGAUGCCCUCACCUUACUUCACCAGAUGUUCCCUCAGUGGUAGUGUUACAGGGAGCAUUGUGUUAACUGUUCUGCUUGAAGUAGAAGCAGGGAUUGUUGUUCAAGACUGUUCUCGUUCAGCAUUUGUUGACUGUUUAACGUUUGUGUCUUUGAAGUUUCCUUUCCCAAAAUUCCCUCUUGUUUGGAGGGGUUUGGAUGAUCAAGACUUGUCGGUAUUGCAAGGUUCUUCCUCCCGACUGAUGGUUAUUAUGGAUGCGAUCUAUCAAGAAACUGCUGAGAUUGUACUUGUUUGUUGGUCUCUUAUGUUCUCUUCCUAUGAUUUGUAUCUUAUCUAUCCUUUGCUUAGCCAUCUUUUGAUGGUUUUCUUUGGCUUUUGUUGCCUUUAUUUCCUUUGUUUUGGAUGUAUUUCCUCUCUUGUUAGAGGUUGAAACUCUUUUUAUCUUAAUGAAAGUGAAGUGUUUGACCAAA